rnacentral:rRNA from 1 species
AACGAACGCUGGCGGCAGGCCUAACACAUGCAAGUCGAGCGCGCCUUUCGGGGCGAGCGGCGGACGGGUUAGUAACGCGUGGGAACGUGCCCUUUGGUACGGAAUAGCCCCGGGAAACUGGGAGUAAUACCGUAUGUGGUCGAGAGACGAAAGAUUUAUCGCCAAAGGAUCGGCCCGCGUUGGAUUAGGUAGUUGGUGGGGUAAUGGCCUACCAAGCCGACGAUCCAUAGCUGGUUUGAGAGGAUGAUCAGCCACACUGGGACUGAGACACGGCCCAGACUCCUACGGGAGGCAGCAGUGGGGAAUCUUAGACAAUGGGGGAAACCCUGAUCUAGCCAUGCCGCGUGAUCGAUGAAGGCCUUAGGGUUGUAAAGAUCUUUCAGUGGGGAAGAUAAUGACUGUACCCACAGAAGAAACCCCGGCUAACUCCGUGCCAGCAACCGCCGUAAUAC